rnacentral:rRNA from 1 species
CUACGGGCUGCAGCAGUAAGGAGUAUUGCGCAAUGGAGGCAACUCUGACGCAGCCAUGCCGCGUGCAGGAAGAAGGCCUUAUGGGUCGUAAACUGCUUUUAUUUAGGAAUAAACCCCCGAACGUGUUCGGGGCUGAAGGUACUAAACGAAUAAGCACCGGCUAACUCCGUGCCAGCAGCCGCGGUAAUACGGAGGGUGCAAGCGUUAUCCGGAUUUAUUGGGUUUAAAGGGUGCGCAGGCGGGCUAUUAAGUCAGUGGUGAAAUCCCGGGGCUCAACUCCGGAACUGCCAUUGAUACUGAUAGUCUUGAGUUUGGUUGAAGUGGGCGGAAUGUAGCAUGUAGCGGUGAAAUGCAUAGAUAUGCUACAGAACACCAAUCGCGAAGGCAGCUCACUAAGCCAAAACUGACGCUCAUGCACGAAAGCGUGGGGAUCAAACAGGAUUAGAUACCCUCGUAGUC